ACAACACUUGGACGAUCGGUCUACCAAGCAAUAUCAUCCGCUCGAUAGAAGACCUUCCCUUCGUCGU
rnacentral:pre_miRNA from 1 species